UAAAGUUUAUAUUGCCACUAUUGAAUAACCUU
rnacentral:piRNA from 1 species